UCAACAGUCAGAGGCCAUUUGUGGAGACUC
rnacentral:piRNA from 1 species